GCCGGGAUGGCGGAAUUGGCAGACGCGCUAGGUUCAGGGUCUAGUAGGUGUAGACCUGUGGGGGUUCAAGUCCCCCUCCCGGCACCA
rnacentral:tRNA from 1 species